UGGGGAAUAUUGCGCAAUGGGCGAAAGCUUGACGCAGCGACGCCGCGUGAGGGAUGAAGGUUUUCGGAUCGUAAACCUCUGUCAGAAGGGAAGAAACCGCACUGUGCUAAUCAGCAGUGCCUUGACGGUACCUUCAAAGGAAGCACCGGCUAACUCCGUGCCAGCAGCCGCGGUAAUACGGAGGGUGCAAGCGUUAAUCGGAAUUACUGGGCGUAAAGCGCACGUAGGCUGCUUUGUAAGUCAGGGGUGAAAUCCCACGGCUCAACCGUGGAACUGCCUUUGAUACUGCUUAGCUUGAAUCCGGGAGAGGGUGGCGGAAUUCCAGGUGUAGGAGUGAAAUCCGUAGAUAUCUGGAGGAACAUCAGUGGCGAAGGCGGCCACCUGGACCGGUAUUGACGCUGAGGUGCGAAAGCGUGGGGAGCAAACAGG
rnacentral:rRNA from 1 species